rnacentral:rRNA from 1 species
GGUGAAUGUGGGGGCAGAAGCAGGGGUAAUGAGAGUGUCCCAAUCGUUGGUCGGGGUCGCGGGGCGUAAAGGGUGCGUAGGUGGCAGGUUAAGUGUGAUGUGAAAACUUCGAGCUUAAGUCGGAAGAUGCAUUGAAUACUAUCUUGCUCGAGGUUUGGAAGGGGGACGGGAAUUCUCGGUGUAGCAGUGAAAUGCGUAGAUAUCGAGAGGAACACCAGUGGCGAAGGCGAGUCCCUGGACAACACCUGACACUGAGGCACGAAAGCUAGGGGAGCAAACAGGAUUAGAUACCCUGUAGUC